UGCCGCGUGUGUGUAAGAAGGCCCCUGGGUUGUAAAGCACUUUUGUCCGGAAAGAAAUCCUUGUGCUCUAAUACAGUCGGGGGAUGACGGUACCGGAAGAAUAAGCACCGGCUAACUACGUGCCAGCAGCCGCGGUAAUACGUAGGGUGCGAGCGUUAAUCGGAAUUACUGGGCGUAAAGCGUGCGCAGGCGGUUUGCUAAGACCGAUGUGAAAUCCCCGGGCUCAACCUGGGAACUGCAUUGGUGACUGGCAGGCUAGAGUAUGGCAGAGGGGGGUAGAAUUCCACGUGUAGCAGUGAAAUGCGUAGAGAUGUGGAGGAAUACCGAUGGCGAAGGCAGCCCCCUGGGCCAAUACUGACGCUCAUGCACGAAAGCGUGGGGAGCAAACAGGAUUAGAUACCCUGGUAGUCCACGCCCUAAACGAUGUCAACUAGUUGUUGGGGAUUCAUUUUCUUAGUAACGUAGCUAACGCGUGAAGUUGACCGCCUGGGGAGUACGGUCGCAAGAUUAAAACUCAAAGGAAUUGACGGGGACCCGCACAAGCGGUGGAUGAUGUGGAUUAAUUCGAUGCAUUGCGAAAAACCUUACCUACCCUUGACAUGGUCGGAAUCCUGCU
rnacentral:rRNA from 1 species